GCUCGGGCCCGCCAGUGCCCCAACGGGGUCCUAGUUAGGGCCCGAGCCAGCUGCAGAGCAGCCGGGCGUAGGCCCUAUUAUUCCCCAAGUGGUUUUUCUUUGUUUCUUUCUUUCUUUCUUUCUUUCUUUCUUUCUUUCUUCUUUUUCCUCCCCUUUGAACUGGAAAAUGGCCCACUUCCCACUGGCGAAAACUCAUGAAAUUUGGCAGGACGACCGGGCCUGGUGAAAAAUUCGAUAUUCUGAAGUCGCCCAAACAAUAAAAUGCAAAAUGGCUCCAUAGCGCCCCCUAAGGUGGAAAUUCACACUAUUGACUGUCACGCCUGUACGCUUUGUCAUAUUGACACAAAAAUUGACACACAUAUGUAUCUCAAUAAGAUCUACAAAAAAGUCAGUGCGGCCGUAUCUGUCAAAAUUACGGUUAAAGGGUUAUUUCGCAUUUUUUGCCGAUCCGCACACAUUGGAAUUUCGCUAACUCCUCCGAAGGCUUUCGUUCCACCGGCACCACAUUUGCUCAGGCCAAUCUACACCCCGUGGCCAUUAAAAGUUAUUCAAAUCAUGACGCUGCACCCCAAGGUUUAGGUUCUAGGGGGCGCCAAAGAUAACACUAAAAUCCACAUAUUUAAAAGUUCUAUAACUUUUUAUUUUUGUCCUCACUGGCCUCCAAGUUUUCUAGGAUGAUGCAAUGUCCAGCCAUCAACACAUUUGUGAAGGAAUUUUUACUCCCCAAAAGAGCGCCCCCCCAUGGCAGGAGAAAAAAGUCCAUUUUUUCUUGUCCCCUAAGGUGAAAAUACACAUUGUUGAGUGUCACGCCUAUACGCUUUGUCAAAAUGACACAAAAAUUGACACACACAUGUAACUCAAUAAGAUCUACAAAAAAGUCAAUGCGCGCGUAUCUGUCAAAUGUACAGUUAAAGGGUUAUUCCGCAUUUUUUGCCGAUACGCACACAUUGGAAUUUCGCUAACUCCUCCGAAGGCUUUCGUUCCACCGGCACCACAUUUGCUCAGGCCAAUCUACACCCCAUGGCCAUUAAAAGUUAUUCAAAUCAUGAUGCUGCACCCCAUGGUUUAGGUUCUAGGGGGCGCCAAAAAUAACCCAAAAAUCCACAUUCUUAAAUGUUUUAUAACUUUUUAUUUUUGUCCUCACUGGCCUCCAAGUUUUCUAGGAUGAUGCAAUGUCCAGCCAUCAACACAUUUGUGAAGGAAUUUUUACUCCCCAAAAGAGCGCCCCCCCAUGGUAGGAGAAUAAAGUCAAUUUUUUCUUGUCCCCUUACAUAAAAAUACACAUUGUUGAGUGUCACGCCUGAACGCUUUGUCAUAUUGACACAAAAAUUGACAAUCAUGUGUAUCUCAAUUAGAUCUACGAAAAAGUCAAAGAGCGCGUAUCUGUAUAAUGUACGGUUAAAGGGCUAUUUUGCAUUUUUUGCCGAUUCACACACAUUGGAAUGUGGCUAUCUCCUCCUAAGGCUUUCGUCCCACCGAUACCAAAUUUGCUCAGGGCAAUCUACACCCCAUGCCCAUUCAAAGUUGUAAAAAUCAUGACGCUGCACCCCACGGUUUACGUUCUAGGGGGCGCCAAAGAUGACCCAAAAAUCCACAUUCUUAAAAGUCAUUUUGGCCACUGCAGGAGUACAGAGUACUGCAGUUCUAGGGGGCGCCAAAGAUGACCCAAAAAUCCACAUUCUUAAAAGUCUUUUUGGCCACUGCAGGAGUACAGAGUACUGCAGGAUACACACACAUAUACACACACGCCAACAUACACACACACACACACACACACACACACACACACACACAGACACACACACACACUCAGAGUCUGUUUUUUAGCACCUGCAAAAACAUGCUGUUUACAUAUUUGACAAGAAUGCAGAGGCUUCCUUUUGCCCCUGAAAAAAAUCAAAUUUCAAACACAACUUGACUGUUCAUUUCUCCAAAAGACAACCAUGAAGCUCCAUUUCAAACCUGAAGCAGAUAGUUGGUGCAUGUGUACAGUAACCUGAGGGGAGUGAGGUGACUAUUUCUGAGGAGAACAUGAGCAGUGAAGAUUCACCUUGGAGCUAGAACAGGGACGUGCACAUGAUUAUACAGGGGCAGGGGCUCAAGUUUUUUCCAGUCAUUUAUACAAUAUGGAAAUUAAUGUGAAAUUAAACCACAAAUAUGUGUGAUGAACUGUUUUUAAAACUUAAACUUCAAAUAAAAAUUGUAAACUUCAAAACAUAUGCAAAUUUUUAACAAAGAACAUAGUAAUUUACCUCUAUUUACAUCAAAAUGCAGGCAAUGGCCCAGGUGUUCUUUGUAAAAUUAUUUACAAAACACUGUAUAGUCUCACAAAUGUCACUUUUUAUUUAUGCCACUACAAAAAAACAUGAUGUAAAUGAUGCAUGAUGUAAAACAUGAUGUAAAAAACUUGUGUAGAUCCUCCUCUAUGUCAGUCCAUGUGUAAUUUUUCCAUAAUUCUUUGUUUUUUGCAGCAUUUUUGUUAGUGUAACUGCAGAUUUUGCUGACAGUGUCUAUGGCACAAAAAAAAAAAAAAUUAAAAUGCCUCAACAUGAACCCCUGGUGGUCUCUGAGGGUGAAACCUGCUAACUGCUGCAGCUCUGUCAGCUUCAGUCUCCCAUGCAGAGCUCUGAGCGCAUGUGUGGCUCUGCACCCUUAGCAGCGUUGCUAACUCCUCAGUAAGGAAAGCCUGCUUCAUGUCAGAGUCUCUAAACUCCAGAAGAAGUCGAUAAAAGUCCCUUUCUUUCUAAAAAAAAGUCGUUAGGGUGUCUGAAAAGUCAUUGAAUCUAACAACAAAGUCGCUAGGUUUGCAACUACGUGUCCCAGACUGCAUCCCUGCUGAGAGUCCCUCCCUCCCUUCUCAUGUUGCAGGAAGAACGUAAGCGCCCGCCCCUUGUCAAUCAGUCACCAUAUAAUUUUGGAUUGGUUGUUGUGGUGAAGUUUUCCACCAAUAGGAGAGAUGUUGUGGUGUGUUUUUUUUUUCUUUUGGCAAGCCUUUUCCGCCUGUAAGACCUGUCGCUAAUGUCUGCAUGCUAUGUUUUCCUGUCUCAUACAGCGCGAUCGAGCGCCGAACGUGAUCAAAAUAAGCAGAAAAAAAGUAUCGCGGACAUAAUUUAUCAUAACUCUGGUUUUAUUUGGCCUAUCAACACAAUUUAAAAACUGGUAUAUAGGUUGAGGUCCUCACUUUUGAGAUAAGUUGAAACGGAGAGUCAACGAGGCUCCGUCUUGCAGCUACAUCAGGUUAAAUAUGUCAUGUGACUUGAACGCACACAUAGACACACACACACGCACACACACACGCACACACACACACACACACACACACACACACUCAGAGUCUGGUUUUUAGCACCUGCAAAAACAUGCUAUUUACAUAUUUGACAAGAAUGCAGAGGCUCCUUUUGCCCCUGAAAAAAAUCAAAUUUCAAACACAACUUGACUGGUCAUUUCUCCAAAAGACAACCAUGAAGCUCCAUCCAAACCUGAAGCAGGCAGUUGGUGCAUGUGUACAGUAACCUGAGGGGAGUGAGGUGAGUGCUUCUGAGGAGAACAUGAGCAGUGAAGAUUCACCUUGGAGCUAGAACAGAGACAUGCACAUGAUUAUACAGGGGCAGGGGCUCAAGUUUUUUCCAGUCGUUUAUACAAUAUGGAAAUUAAUGUGAAAUUAAAACACAAAGUAUUAAUAGAAAGGUAAUUACUGUCCUGUGUAGGUGACAGUGAUAUCCAAUAGGCUAGGCACUCACGAGGCUGGCUGUGGCAAGUGUAAGUGAAAGCAACACGCACUGGCAGGAAGAACAGCAAACGCCGAUGAAGGAAAAGGGUCUUUGCAGUGAUGGGCGUUACCAGAGAGGGCGAUGGCCAGAGGACACAAAUGGGACGGGGAGGCAGCACGUUGGGGGGGGGGGGAUGCGACACGGCUCGGGCCCGCCAGUGCCCCAACGGGGUCCUAGUUAGGGCCCGAGCCAGCUGCAGAGCAGCCGGGCGUAGGCCCUAUUAUUCCCCAAGAGGUUUUUCUUUGUUUCUUUCUUUCUUUCUUUCUUUCUUCUUUUUCCUCCCCUUUGAACUGGAAAAUGGCCCACUUCCCACUGGUGAAAACUCAUGAAAUUUGGCAGGACGACCGGGCCUGGUGAAAAAUUCGAUAUUCUGAAGUCGCCCAAACAAUAAAAUGCAAAAUGGCUCCAUAGCGCCCCCUAAGGUGGAAAUUCACACUAUUGACUGUCACGCCUGUACGCUUUGUCAUAUUGACACAAAAAUUGACACAC
rnacentral:lncRNA from 1 species